rnacentral:rRNA from 1 species
UACAGAGGGGGCAAGCGUUGUUCGGAAUUACUGGGCGUAAAGGGCGCGUAGGCGGCCUGCUAAGUCGAACGUGAAAUCCCUGGGCUCAACCCAGGAACUGCGUCCGAUACUGGUUGGCUUGAAUCCGGGAGAGGGAUGUGGAAUUCCAGGUGUAGCGGUGAAAUGCGUAGAUAUCUGGAGGAACACCGGUGGCGAAGGCGACAUCCUGGACCGGUAUUGACGCUGAGGCGCGAAAGCUAGGGGAGCAAACAGG